rnacentral:rRNA from 1 species
GACGAACGCUGGCGGCGUGCUUAACACAUGCAAGUCGAACGGAAAGGCCCUGCUUUUGUGGGGUGCUCGAGUGGCGAACGGGUGAGUAACACGUGAGUAACCUGCCCUUGACUUUGGGAUAACUUCAGGAAACUGGGGCUAAUACCGGAUAGGAGCUCCUGCUGCAUGGUGGGGGUUGGAAAGGUUCGGCGGUUGGGGAUGGACUCGCGGCUUAUCAGCUUGUUGGUGGGGUAGUGGCUUACCAAGGCUUUGACGGGUAGCCGGCCCGUGAGGGUGACCGGACACAUUGGGACUGAGAUGCGGCCCAGACUCCUACGGGAGGCAGCAGUGGGGAAUAUUGCACAAUGGGCGGAAGCCUGAUGCAGCAACGCGGCGUGCGGGAUGACGGCCUUCGGGUUGUAAACCGCUUUCGCCUGUGACGAAGCGUGAGUGACGGUAAUGGGUAAAGAAGCACCGGCUAACUACGUG